GACGAACGCUGGCGGCGUGCUUAACACAUGCAAGUCGAACGAAGUGGCGAACGGGUGAGUAACGAGUAAUCAACCUGCCCUUCAGAGGGGGACAACAGUUGGAAACGACUGCUAAAACCGCAUAGUGAAGGAGGGGAUUGCGUCUGAUGAGCUAGUUGGGGGGGUAACGGCCCACCAAGGCGAUGAUCAGUAGCCGGUUUGAGAGGAUGAACGGCCAAAUUGGGAAUUGGGAACAGCCCAGAAUCCUGAGGGAGGCAGCAGUGGGGAAUCUUCCGCAAUGGACGAAAGUCUGACGGAGCAACGCCGCGGGAGAGAUGACGGCCUUCGGGGUGGAAAGCUCUGUUAAUCGGGACGCGGUACCGGAAUAGAAAGCCACGGCUAACUACGUGCCAGCAGCCGCGGUAAUAC
rnacentral:rRNA from 1 species